CGUAAUACCGGAUAGGAGCUCCUGCUGCAUGGUGGGGGUUGGAAAGGUUUAGGCGGUUGGGGAGUGGACUCGCGGCUUAUCAGCUUGUUGGUGGGGUAGUGGCUACCAAGGCUUUGACGGGUAGCCGGCCUGAGAGGGUGACCGGCCACAUUGGGACUGAGAUACGGCCCAGACUCCUACGGGAGGCAGCAGUGGGGAAUAUUGCACAAUGGGCGGAAGCCUGAUGCAGCAACGCCGCGUGCGGGAUGACGGCCUUCGGGUUGUAAACCGCUUUCGCCUGUGACGAAGCGUGAGUGACGGUAAUGGGUAAAGAAGCACCGGCUAACUACGUG
rnacentral:rRNA from 1 species